rnacentral:rRNA from 1 species
AUUGAACGCUGGCGGCAUGCCUUACACAUGCAAGUCGAGCGGCAGCGCGGGGGCAACCCUGGCGGCGAGCGGCGAACGGGUGAGUAAUACAUCGGAACGUGUCCAGUAGCGGGGGAUAACCUGUCGAAAGAUAGGCUAAUACCGCGUACGACCUACGGGUGAAAGCGGGGGACCGCAAGGCCUCGCACUAUUGGAGCGGCCGAUGUCGGAUUAGCUAGUUGGCGGGGUAACGGCCCACCAAGGCGACGAUCCGUAGCUGGUCUGAGAGGACGACCAGCCACACUGGAACUGAGACACGGUCCAGACUCCUACGGGAGGCAGCAGUGGGGAAUUUUGGACAAUGGGCGCAAGCCUGAUCCAGCCAUGCCGCGUGAGUGAAGAAGGCCGU